rnacentral:piRNA from 1 species
UACACAUGAGGUGGCCUUCCAGUUAAUGGC